UACAGAGGGGGCAAGCGUUGUUCGGAAUUACUGGGCGUAAAGGGCGCGUAGGCGGCCUUCUAAGUCGAACGUGAAAUCCCCCGGGCUCAACCCGGGAACUGCGUCCGAUACUGGAAGGCUUGAAUCCGGGAGAGGGAUGUGGAAUUCCAGGUGUAGCGGUGAAAUGCGUAGAUAUCUGGAGGAACACCGGUGGCGAAGGCGACAUCCUGGACCGGUAUUGACGCUGAGGCGCGAAAGCCAGGGAGCAACGGG
rnacentral:rRNA from 1 species